UACGUAGGGUGCAAGUGUUAUCCGGAAUUAUUGGGCGUAAAGAGCUCGUAGGCGGUUUGUCGCGUCUGCUGUGAAAACUGGAGGCUCAACCUCCAGCCUGCAGUGGGUACGGGCAAACUAGAGUGCGGUAGGGGAGAUUGGAAUUCCUGGUGUAGCGGUGGAAUGCGCAGAUAUCAGGAGGAACACCGAUGGCGAAGGCAGAUCUCUGGGCCGUAACUGACGCUGAGGAGCGAAAGCAUGGGGAGCGAACAGG
rnacentral:rRNA from 1 species